ACCAAGUCCAAUUUGCUCUCUAAAUCGCGGAAGGUGUGAUCUUUUUCCUGCAAUUCAUCUACUUGUUGCUUGACUCUCUCUCUCAGCAAUGCAUUUUCUUUCCUCUGCUCUGCCAGUACCCUCUCUAAUGUCUCCACUUGCAACCUCAAAACAUCUUUUUUCGCAUCACUUUCAAUUUCCCCAUUCUCUGAACUAAUACUAUCAGAGUUCAAGUUUGAAAUAUUUUCCAAGCUGUCAUUAGUUUUUUCAAUUUUAUCCGUAUUGUCAUCUUCAAAUAUGUCACUCAUUAUUUUGCCAUUGGGUACUGCUUUUAAGGGUUUAGUUGGUUUCUGAACAGAGGCUCUGUGUGUGUAUGCAUUUUUAAGACUUCCACUGACUGAUGAAAAUAUUCCAUGAACAUUUUUGACUAUGCUGCCUAUGUCCUGUGACAGAAUCUCUUUAUGAAUGUGAGUGUAACGGGCACUGGUGUUGGAUGGAAUUUCUGGUAUUUUCUGUACUGCCAUUACUUUAUUUUUAUGAGAACUGAAGUCAGAUAAAAUUUGUUCAGUAUUUAGAUCUUUAUCACUGGAAUUUAACUUUAGUUUACCAGUCAGCUCCAGUGUAGUUAUGUUUUCAGCACUCCUGCUGUGAGGACAUUUGGAUACAAUAUCAUUUAACGCAUUUUGUUCAUUCAAACUUGCCGUGGACAUGGUGAGAGCACUAUUAAUAUUUUUUAAAUCAACAUAAGUAAUGUGGCUUUGUGAACAAUUUGUACUUUCCUUGUUUGUGACAAAUUCUUUGGUUUCUUUAGGUACUAAUACAUUUUUUUCAUUUGAUGAUAAGCUAGAGAUGUCAGAGUUCGUGGUGGGCGACAUCGAUACAGGAGAGAAGUCAUCACUUUUGUUCUCCAUUUCAGUUUUUAUAUUACUUAUGUUGACUGAAUGUGGAGUUACUGAGGUGUUAGUGGCUAAUGGGUAAGAUUCCGACUCUGGACCAGUGAAACCGCAGGUAUCCAAACUAGAAUCACAAUUUAAGUGACCAACUGAACUAGUUUCUUCUUCCUUUGAUCUACUUUUUACUGUGGGCUCUUCUGUUGUGGACAGGGGAGUGGACAGCUCCAAAUUGCCCGUUGUAUCGACUUUACGUGACGCGGAUGAAGUAUCAUUACUAAAUCCUGAACAUUCUACACCCGAGUCGCAACUUGUCUCCUUAUUUUCCGCAUUCUCUUCGCUUUUUUCGUCAACGUCACACUUUUCAAUAUGGUUCGCUAACACAUCACUACUAUCCGACAUUUUUAACUUUAAAACUUAUUCUUUUAAAUCGAGUAUAUUGAAAAUCGUGUUGAAUAAAACGUAAGCCAUGAAGAAAUCAAAAAUAUUUUUAUUUUUGAAUAAAAAAUAAACAUCGGUAGGAUUUGACGUUUGCCAUCGAUUUUGACAAUUGACAGACCAUCUGAUCUGACGUUUCUUUAUGUGUUGACUGCAGAGUCCAAUAAACUAAUGUUGACUGGUCCAAAGAGAACUUUUUAUAAUAUAGAUUGGACUAUUUAUCUUUCAUAAUGAUAACUUGCUAAAAUAUAAAAAAAGAUAAUAUAUAUGUAAUCAUUAUAAUAUAUAAACAUAAAACAAAACAAAAUAAACUUAUUGUAUUAUGACCAAAAACUCAAUCUUUUUCAGGAAUACGUACUAAAAUACUGUGUUGUAAUACUUAAAAAAUACUUAAUUUUAGUAGUAUCUUUGUUUAAGAAAAGAUAAUGUUCAGCUGAGAUUUUGUCAGUAUUUCUUAUAUUUAAUUAAAUAAUUGAAAAUAUAGUCUUAUGUACAAACACUAAAAUAAAAAUUAUAUGGGUAAAUACAAAAAAGAAUUUCUACAGGAAGUUCAAAAGUAGAUUUUUUUUAAUACAAAACAUGGUAAUAAUUUACGAAAAUGUCAUGUCAUUUCCAUUUCGUUUCGUUCGUUCGGCAAAAGGAAUUGAAACGGAAAAGUAGGUCGACAGUAUUGAUUUUUACAAUAUUCCACAAACAAAAGACGUAACAGCGCUCAGUGAAACGCCAUACGUUAUAUUUCGUGCUAGAGGCGGCUGCGAUCGUGGAAGAUGCCCGACGCGGAGCUUGUAGCCGCGCCGACGGUGGAGAACGUCCGCGUGGUGGUGCGCGUACGGCCGAUGGAUCAGCGCGAGAAGAUUGACGGCGCCUACAGCUGCGUCUCCGUGGACCCCAUCAACAGCACCGUCGCCGUGUCCAGGACCAACGUGACCCCCGUCGAACCGCCUAGGAUCUAUGCCUACGAUGCCGUGUUCGACAGCAACACUACACAGGUAUGUUGACUUUAUAAUGGCAAUUAAGCGGGUCCACAAGUAAUUUCCUGGACUAUGACUACUAAAAGAGAAGAGGAUGAAAACUUGUAGAUAUAUAUAGCGUAUAGCGAUCUUGUCUAGAUACAAGGCUACAACACAAGGUGCAUUAUUUAGUAAACUAAACAUAAAAAUACUUAUCCAAUCAUUGUAUUCUCUAGAUUAAAUGACGCAACAAAUAACGAGUCGUUCAGUAGAUUUUUUUAGUGCUAUUUUUAGUAAACUUGAUACAAAAUUUAAUAUAGAGCUAAAGGGACGACUGUUUAUGAAUUAGUCACGCGUCGAUAUAGUGGUCUAGACAGAAUUCUAAUAAGAAAUUUUAAUACAGUUAGUAAACAAAUAACAAAAAAUAUAAACCAAAGUAUACUUGAAAUUAGAUUUGUUCAGAAUUAAGGGAUUAAUGUUAUGUAUAAAGAUUUUUCCGCUAAUCCUUUAAAAGCGCCGCCCAUAGUAUAUUCCUUGUCCGUGAGAUCCUGUCACUGUUAAGAACAAUAUCAGACACUUCCUAAAACAUAGCAUACUCGUUUGACUACAUUGUAACACCAAAUGACCCAACGCGAUAAAACGUGACCGUUAUAUAAAGUUAUCAUAAAAAUGUAAAGGCGCAAGUAAAUGGAUGUCGAGUUCGUUUUUCUGUGUGCUUGACGCAGAUAUGACGAAAUCCCAGGAAUUAUAGGGUUACCGACGUACGCCAAUUGUGCAGCAGUUGGCAGUGGGCGGGGCUCGCAGUUGUAGAGCCGAGCCCGACGGACGUUGGGGUGAGGAGGUUCUCGGCUCGCGACCUCGUUCUACACGCCACCGUAUAUACUUGCUAUAUGUGCUGCGGCCAUUACUUGGAAAUUUAUAUCUUUAUUGUGUCCUAGUCUAUAUCCAUAAAAUAAUUAUUUUUCCUUUGUUUAUUGUAGAAUUGCGUCUUAUAGUAUAUUUCCUAGUUAGUUUCCAAGCCCGAUUGUAAUUUAUGGACUAUCGAGAAACUUUCUAAUGAUGAUAAAUUCUGAAGAUUGAGUAAUAAAAACAGGUAAUUCUAAUUACGAGCGAAAACAACAAUUAAGAAGCUCUAUUUUCUUCCGUAAACAUCUAAAAGUAACAAUAUAAUUCAAUCUGUGAAAGACGUAAUCAAUAAAGUACGAAACGUUCGUGCCGUUCAUUGGCUAUGUAUAGAAUUCACAUAAGUAGAGUCUAUUGCAUCUAUGCGCAGUAUUCGCCUGAAACAAGGUCCAAUAUUACAAAACAGGGACGGCCAUGGUACAUGCAGGUGGGUGAUGGGUCGGCCGCGUCCUGCGCUGCGCUCGGCGCUGUAGCGCGGCGACGGUGGAGCGCGUCUGACGUGCCGCUCGCCUCCGCUCUCUCAAUGUAAAUGUGCCUUAAUAAUCUAUCAUAAGUGAUAACUCUUUGUGUUUUUGUCAGCAUAGAAGUGUAUUAGUAGGAAUAUGUUAUAAUUUGUGUUCUUGAUAUAUGGCCUCAUCGAAAGUGUUUUAAAAUCGCAAGACGGGGUUUAAUUUUCGAUUUUGAUUAUUUUUUUUGAAAUAUUGUUACUUGGUGUAAACGUUUUUUGCUGAAUGGUGCAAUUGCCUAGAAUGGCAUCAUUUAUCGGUGAAAAAGAUUGAAGACCAUAGAAUGAACGUUGUAAAUUCGCAUUGAUCGCGGUCGCGACAGAUGCCCGUCGAAAUCGGCGCCGUCGACAUGUCCGUUCUCGUAAUAUCGAUUGUGAAAUAAUAUGCACUCUCGUACCUUUAGGUUUAAUGUGAUCUUAGAACUGUGGUUUAUUUUUUUGCAAUACAACAUCAUAUUAGACGAAUCUCUGAAGAAAGAUAAGUGCGGGCAAAUUUUUCAUUGAAUACAAAUAAUUGUUUUGUGACAGAAACAUAAUAUUAUGUUGGAAAACAACUAGGAAAUUAAAUUAGGGAAUAGUGGCAAGUAGAAAUCCGAAAAUUAUAAAUUUUGGGUGCGAUGGCAAAAAUAUUGAUAUUUUUUUCCUGGCUACCUCUCUAUUUGGGAAAACCGCGCACCAUAGUAAGUACAAAAAAGCGUUCCUUUAUUAACGCUGGCUAAGGAAUUCUAGUAGAUUUUGUUAGUAUGGCAAUUUAUUUUUCGUCUAUGACCACCAUGUUGAAACUAACCUAUUGAGAAAAAAAUCAUAUCUAAAAGUUUACCCAAAAUCUAAACUGAGAAUUUAACGAUGGUUGAAAAUGGUAACUGGUGAGGCAGAGCGUCGUCCAGUUGUUCGGCACUGUCCGUUCGUAGUUCACGUCGUCGUGCCCAUCGCGGCUAGAAGUAAACAAAUUGGGAAACUAUCGUGUCGAAUUGUAACUGUUACUGUAUUUUUACGAUUAUAUUAAGUAGGAUAAGAAUCUCGAUAGAUACGUGUUUAUUGCGUUUUUUACGGAUCGUACGAGUGCUCAUUUCGGAUAGGUUUGGAGUAUUGAUUGUAACGGUCAGCGGGCAGCGACUAGUUGUUCGGGAAUCCUUGAGCCGUGUGGACGUGUGCGGAUACAACUAACAAUAAGUUCUCAACAUUGUUGAAUAUUCAUCUAAUUGUUAUCUGCAGUUUUUAAACGAGUUACAUUAUUUUAAACGACUUUUUUUUGUAUCAGUGUAGUGUCCCUGACCAAGUUUAUACUGUUUGAAACGCUUCUAGAAUAUAAAUGUGUUAGACGUUAUAAGUAUUAUUAUUGGGCUACCUUGUAGUUAUGCCAGUUGUAUUAAUACUUCCGUGGCCUACAAAUUGUUUGUAAAAACUACUUUUAGAUUAAUUCUGAGUAUAAUCGUCUUUUUCGUCCGAAAAUUACUAUACUAAAAUAAGCGAUAGUUUCCAUUACGUACGUUCCUGAAGACAUUGUGUAAAACGUGUUGGUUAUUAAUAGUUGUAGUAUAACGCAACGUCCCUGACCACAACACGCUUUAAUUGAAACUACUGCGACAGCACGAUAAAUGUACGCGAUAAACUGGUAGGAAGUGACGAUAAUAAUUCACAUUAUGUUGCUUCAAACAUCAAACUGCCAUUACUUUAAUCGAUGCAAAUAAUAUUGUGUUUAUUCAGUUUUGAAGUGUUCACAUCCUUCCUGUUCUUGCGCGUUUAGUAUGAAAUCAGUUUAUUGACGUCAUCGCAAUAAGGUAGCAACAUUAUUAUCAUAUGCUGCUACCUUAUUAAAUUUCACCCUAUCCAAUAUCAGGAUCACUUGUGCCAAAAUAGUUUAUUGCAGAUAAACUGUCUUCUUUCUUUCUGCUGUCUUGUUCCUCACUAACUCUUUCUAUAAUUUAUUGUAAAGUCAAAUUAGAUCGAUUAUGAAUCUUAAAUUAUAAAAUGAUAUGAUAAUGUUAAUAUGCGAUGUACAAUAGAUAUAAUUAACAACCCUGUAAACACAUUACACUGAAGAGAGAAGCAGAAGUAUGAGAAGAAUAGAAGAUGGAACCUGAAGAAGUCAAAACGCACUACUCUUCCACCGUUCGUCUCGACUGGCGCCGUCCCACGCAUCAGUCUUGUCGAAUGGUGGGUGAGUUCUGCGUACCGCAACACGAAACAACCACCACAGCAGAACAAUAUUUUCAUAUAUUAUAUAUCAAUAUCAAUAUUUCAUUGUAUAAAUAACUCUGCCAAAUGAUUACAGGUUUUAGUAAAACUAUUACGGAUAGACACAGACAUCUGUCGCUAAACAUUCAGUAACAGCGAUUCUUAUGUAGCAGUAGAGCAGUGGCGAAGGGUUAAAUUUUUCAAAAGGUAAGCCGGUGCAAAAAGAAAUACUUUAGUUAGCAUAUCACAACCCAAUUUAACAGAAAAUAAAAUCUAAGACAAUCGUAAAUAAACCUAAAAGAUAAGCCGGUAGGAAUCGGGUUGUAUGGACACUUCGCCACUACAGUAGAGACAAUAUGUCCCGUUAAAUUAGGGCACUGCCUAUACAUUGUUAUAUUCUUGCCUACAACGUUUGUGGCGUAACCGUGUUCCAUAUUCAAAAGUAGGUUACACUGGUGAUUCCGCCGCGUGGGACUCGACUCGCUAGAUAUGAUAUUCGAUGUUUGUAUUUCCGUUCCCGUUCAAUAUAAUUACUGUAAUAGCUGUCUCUACAUAUUCAAAAUUAAUAUUAUUAUUUAUUCGUUGUUCAAGUUCUUUUCGAAAAUAUUCCUAACAUAGACAUUUCAAAGUUGUAAUUUUAUUAUCAAAAGCUCUUGUAAAAUUAAUGUUAGGACUUAUUGAAGUUUUCAUCGCAUUCAGAAUUUUUUAUGAACUUUAUUAGUUCUUUCAUACCAUGUUUUAUAAAAAGAACUCCAGCUAAAACGCGACGAAUUUGAAAGUAUAUCAGCGACGCCCUGCUAUUAGCCAAUUGACCUCGUUCUCAUUCGGCAAGGUUAUACUCGGCCAGUUUUCCACAGCCCUGACCUGGAUACGACGAGGAAGUGGAAGAACUGAUGACGUAACAUUCUUAGUGCAUCUUGCUACGUUUGGACUUUGACUGUUGUCGAAAUCUGAGUAUUGCAAGACAUUAAGAAAUUAUUGCUUAGUGCAUAGGGAAUGUUGCGUCUACAAUCUACUGAAGAAAUACAGAAACAUUACAUUAGAGUUUAUUUAUUAAGUUUUAUUGUAUGUUAUAAGGCAUGUUUCACAAUGUUUGAGUAAAUAUUAUCCACCAUUUAACGUAGACAGCUAAUGUAAAUAAUACUUAUUAAUUUGGAAGCAUAGAUGCUUGAGAGGUUCAUGUAAUAUUUAUUCUGAUGUGAAACAGGCGCUUACGAAUAUAAAAUUGGCAUUGUAUUCCUUAUAGCAUUGUCUUUAUGAUUUAUAUAUAUUAUGUAAAGGAUUAUACUUUUUCCCGACCCGUAUUUCUAAAACGUAAAAAAUAUUGAAUGUAUCAGCGUGUUUAUCGAAGAAUUCUAAGAUUAUAUAGAGCGGACAUUAGAAAGAUUGUCAUACAAAAACUUGUGCUCAUGGGAUGGUUACUCAAUUUACCCUGAAAUGGCAAAUAUUUGUUCGUGAUUUACACGUUUUGAAUGCCCAAAUUAACAUAUUUUCUGUAAAUGUGUUCUUUUUGAAUUGAUAUCUAAGGGUGGUGUAACAUCUUGUCACACAGAAAUUUCAAUAAAAACAAUUUAUUCCCAAUAAUUUUUGGAGCACAAAUUUAAUCUUGAUGUCUGGUUUAUAAAUAACUAUACUGUGUAAUGUCUUUGUUGUUUAUACAAUAUGUGGGCUAAUGUCUUGAUGACCAUGGAACGGUAUUUAGAAUUGAUGUUAUGAAUUAAAAAUUUACAUUAUGAAUGAGAUUUAUUUUGAUCUUCCCAAACUUUAUCUUCAGAAACUGGCUUUUUUUUCUAUUUUAAAAAUACCUUAAACAGUGAUGCAUAUCCAGUAUGUAGUCUUAAUAAAUUCUUCCAAGGGCUGUAAAAUAGUUUGACUCCGUUUUUUCUUUAGAAAACUUUGAAGUGAAAGGAAAUAGAUUUUCACAAUUAUUUUAUUGAAUUGCACUGUAAAAUAUAGUAGAUCAGCUGAUAUUUACUGUUGACCGCCACUCUUCAACAUUCAUAAUUCCUGAGCAAAAUGUAGAUUCUUGUUUUGGUCUACUCCGAACUGGGAAUUUUCUUAAAGUACUCUGAAAUUUAUAAAUUUUAGAUAUCGGAAUAUUUCACUAAACUCCAAAUUACAUUUACUGCACGUUCGUUUUCUUUAAGAUGACGUUACGACGUUCUUAAUGUAGACAAACCAUAGCUACGACGUAACUCUACCAAUUACUUUUCGUAGAAUCAUAAUCGACUAUUUAGUACUUAUUGUCGUUUAUCAUUUGUCGUGUAAUAAUUGUGGUAAACUCAUAACAGCUAAGUAAUCAAUUUAAGAUUAUUAUACUUGGGGGAACACUUCCUAUACUAGAUACCUUCUGCAUCAGAUACUGUUUAAAUUAAAAUAAAAUUUUCAUUGUACUCUACAGCAUCCAUUGUGUAAGCUAUUUUCAUGUUUAAUGUAAAUAAUGGGCACUAUCGUAAAUAAAGCGACGAGUUAGAAAUAAAGAAAUAUAACACUCUUGUGACAGAGCUGAGAGUCUCAUACAGAACUGCAGCCUAGAUUGACUAAUGAGGUAAUAAAGUGAGUGUAAGUCUGCGCAACAGGCUGGCUGCAGCGCGAUACUGUGGUGUAGCGCUGCUCGCACUCAUGACUGUUGAGUGGCUUCGUGGCCUUGCUGCCAAAUUAACGUCUAAUCUGCAUACAAACACUAGGAAAAUGCGCACAAAACGAACUAAACUUAAACAUCUGAAAUUGAUACGUUGACUUGUUUGCAAUAGUGAGAUUUAUGGAAAGUCACAGAGCUCUUUGCUAGACCAGUUAUUAGACUUAAUAAGUUGGGUGAUAGUUUUUUCGGCUGCACUGUACUACGUAGUGGAUCGUGUAAAGUAAUUAAAUUAUUUACGAUUACGUAGAAGCCAUAUUUUUCUUAAAAUUCUCUUUCUCAAGUACCUAUUUACUGAUAUGAAAACAAAACAGGUCGUUUACUUUUCGGUUGACAGCGUAGAUUUUUACUAGUAAAGUAUUUCUAAAUCUGCUAAAGAAUUUUAGAAAUCAAAAAAUAAAAUUACAAACGUUUUUUCUUUAAGAUUAUUUAUAGAAUUUAACGUAGAGCGAAACUUCUUUAACCAAAAUGUUGUGCCUAUUGAUGGCUUUCUUGAAAAUUUCCUACAUCUAUGAACUCUAUUAGUUGAAGAUCCCUGAAUUAAAAAUAUAAUUACAUUACAGAGCGUAGGUCUAGAUACAUUUUUUUAUUCAAAAGUCCUUACUAAAGUUGUCCUCAUUCCUUUUAACCAGACUCUACGAGAGAAGACUUGUCGUUAAUUGUCUAUUUAACUACACAGUUGUUACCUUAAAUUGGUAAAAGGUCUUAUAGAAUAAAAUGAAGAAGAUCUCGUCUUCAAAGAGAACUGUUGUUUCUGCCGCGUACUGUUAAUUCAUUAUUUAUGACCACCACGCUACGAAUCAUCACACUAAACCUGAAGCUGCAAUAUCUAGAUUAGUGACCCAACGAGUGACCGUUCUGACGUAGUAUUGACGUCAUAGCUAAGAACGCGACCCAGUUUUAGAUAUUUAUACCGUCGACGAGUGGUUUGGCCAAUUCGAGAUGUGAGAGCGGCGGUGAUGCGCUAUUGAAGUAAACGUUACCGACUCGUGCUGGUUUCGACUGAGUGUUAUUUACUUUCAAAUCUGUUUAGAAUUAGGCAAAGUACUUUUGAAUGCAAAUAGUUAAAAUAUACGAAAUUAACAAUAAAAACCUCUAUGGAAUCGGUUCGUUCGUUUGGUUACUACGGUGCCAGACGCAGAUAGAUACAUAAUAACACCCUCUUUUUUCCGUUGGUUAAAACCGUAUCGAAUACUGACUAAAGCUCAUCCGCAUAGUCGCGAGAUGUGUAGUUAUUUUUAUUUUCAUUUAGAAUUCAUUUAAAGCUUUAAAUAAGAAGGUUGUACGCUCGGCUAGAUCAACUUCAAGAUAAUAAUCCCGUUAUAAUUUAAUUCAUUUAUCCAGUUGUCAUAGUAAUUAUAAUUAAGACACAAAAAAAUAUGUUUCCUGCUGGUUGUUUUAAUAUUUCUAGACACUGAAUUCUUUAUUAAAUGUGAAAAUGACACGAUUAUUCAAUUAAAUGCUAUUUAACUAAUGGUGGACUGUUUCAUUGUUUUAAAAAUAUAUAUUAUAUUAAAGUUUUGCAUACUUUAAUAUCCCCGUUCGGCACUCAAAUAGUGUUUGGUUUUUAAACUAAAGUUAUGAAAUCCGACUUUCCGAUUUGAACUAUAUAUUUCGUAAAAUGUAGGUAGAUAUUCUAAAUUUGACUUUUCGGACGACCAACACCUCAGUUCUCCCGUGACCACGAAGACUUCAAAAUGUCAGGAUUUCUAAAACAGCGAUAAAAUCCGUAUAAGAGUUUUAUUUCAAUGUCUAACUACUUCUAUGACUAAAUAAUAUUAAUAACAAAUAUUAUUAUUUUUGCCGCUGUACCAAUAUAUAAAUUUUAAUGCAGUGGUCUUCUAUAAUUGAAGAGGCACGUCACAUCGCUAAUUGUAAAAAUGCUACGACAUUGUUUAUAAUAUAUAUGCCGUGUAUCCUUCGUUGGAGAUCCUUAAAUCUAUAUACAUAAAAAUGAAUCCCUAUUUCCCUUGGUCACGUCAACACACGUGAACGGCUGGACCGAUUUAACUUUUUUUUGUUGUGUUUGUUAUUGUCAGGAGAAGGUUCUAAUGAAAGAAAAAAAUCAAAAAAUUGCGCGGAGAAUUAGAAAAUUUAAGAAAACUUAACGAAAAUUUUAAUUUUAUAUAACUGUCAACGAUUGACAGUAUGCGCGCUGCGAAUUCAUAGUUAAGACGGGACAACGUUUAUCGGGUCAGCUAGUAAAUAAAUAAAUAAUAUUCGUGUAAUCAUAAGAAAUCAUAAUUUAUUUCGUGUAUUAAGUAGAUUGUUAGGUGGUGGGGUAUUAGCGAAAUAAAAUUUAUUAAGGCCUUGUUGGCCUACAUUCUGGCGGUGUCGAAGCUGUAUACAGGCAGGCCGGCGCUCGCUAAGCAGUGCUCGAAGUACCCCCCUCCCCCUCCCCGGCUCGUCCUAGUCAACCCAGUGCUUGACACAGUUAUAAAACUCGUUUGACCUCAUUUGUUCCCGAUAAAAGAAUUGUAUUUUGUUUAAACAGAAAUGGAAUAAUGUUUUUAAUCAGUGUUCAUAGAAGUCAAAUUAUUUAAAUAUCUAUUUUUUUUAAACGUGUUGCUAUAUCCAUUUGAAAUUUAUUUUUCAUACAGGUUACAGAUUAUUAUAUAAAGUAUUUUAAUGUUUUUUUAUAAUAAAUAGGUGUUAUUAUAAUAUCUCAUUAUAGCAAUAUAUAGGAGGCACAACUAACUGUUUUAAUAAUAUAAUAAUAAUAUCAGUCCUGUAUUAUACACUUGCCCACUGCCGAGCACGGGCCUCCUCUACUACUGAGAGGGAUUAGGCCUUAGUCCACCACGCUGGCCUAUUGCGGAUUGGUAGACUUCACACACCUUCGAAAUUCCUAUAGAGAACUUCUUAAAUGUACAGGUUUUCUCACGAUGUUUUCCUUCACCGUUAAAGCGAACUAUAAAUUCACAAAGAAUACACACUAAUUUUUUUAGAAAUGUCAGAGGUGUGUGCCCUUGGGAUUUGAACCUGCGGACAUUCGUCUCGGCAGUCCGUUCCACACCCAACUAGGCUAUCGCUGCUGUCUACUGUUUUACAAUAUUC
rnacentral:miRNA from 1 species